GGUUAAAUGACUUAAUGUAUGGUGAAGCACAUCUUAUGUCUGGUAUACAGGUCAUGUUCAAAUGUUCUUUCCUUUUUUGUUGUUACCCCUUUAAAAAGUCACAGAUGGCUGUAGUCAUCAAUUAUGAUUCUCAAAAAGUUGUUUUUAACAUGAAUUACUGCUUCCGGCUCCCUAUUUCCUUCUCUUGAAGCAGUGUCAUAGGAUUCAUAAGUAUGAGAGAGAUCUGCCCGGAAUAUGUGAAGAGAAUUUGGAGGACACAUUGGGAACUGCAUGGAUCUCAGUUAUAGGAGAUAUUACCCAACAUGACAGGGACUGAAAAGAAGCAGGCAACACUCUUGAAAGCAUCAAGGCAUUUGUAUUUUGUCUCUGGCUCAAGUCCCCACCCCGUGGAUCUUUGCAGAUCUCUCUCUUCAUAUGAGACCAUUACCAAAGAACUCAGAAGAAUAAAUUAUAAAAUGAUAAAGGUUAGCCAAAGGAGUGAUAUAAGGGUAUGAGAGCAUGAAUGCAAUUACUGAG
rnacentral:lncRNA from 1 species